rnacentral:rRNA from 1 species
UGGGGAAUAUUGCACAAUGGGCGCAAGCCUGAUGCAGCCAUGCCGCGUGUAUGUAGAAGGCCCUCGGGUUGUAAAGUACUUUCAGCGGGGAGGAAGGGAGUAAAUUUAAUACCUUUGCUCAUUGACGUUACCCGCAGAAGAAGCACCGGCUAACUCCGUGCCAGCAGCCGCGGUAAUACGGAGGGUGCAAUCGUUAAUCGGAAUUACUGGGCGUAAAGCGCACGCAGGCGGUUUGUUAAGUCAGAUGUGAAAUCCCCGGGGUCGACCUGGGAACGGCAUCGGAGACGGGCAAGAUUGAGUCUCGUAGAGGGGGGUAGAAUUCCAGGGGUAGCGGUGAAAUGCGUAAAGAUCUGGAGGAAUACCGGUGGGAAAGGCGGCCACCUGGAAGAAGACAGACGCUAAGGUGCGAAAGCGUGGGGAGCGAACAGG